rnacentral:rRNA from 1 species
GAAUGCUGACAUAAGUAACGAUAAAGCGGGUGAAAAGCCCGCUCGCCGGAAGACCAAGGGUUCCUGUCCAACGUUAAUCGGGGCAGGGUGAGUCGACCCCUAAGGCGAGGCCGAAAGGCGUAGUCGAUGGGAAACAGGUUAAUAUUCCUGUACUUGGUGUUACUGCGAAGGGGGGACGGAGAAGGCUAUGUUGGCCGGGCGACGGUUGUCCCGGUUUAAGCGUGUAGGCUGGUUUUCCAGGCAAAUCCGGAAAAUCAAGGCUGAGGCGUGAUGACGAGGCACUACGGUGCUGAAGCGACAAAUGCCCUGCUUCCAGGAAAAGCCUCUAAGCAUCAGGUAACAUCAAAUCGUACCCCAAACCGACACAGGUGGUCAGGUAGAGAAUACCAAGGCGCUUGAGAGAACUCGGGUGAAGGAACUAGGCAAAAUGGUGCCGUAACUUCGGGAGAAGGCACGCUGAUAUGUAGGUGAAGCGACUUGCUCGUGGAGCUGAAAUCAGUCGAAGAUACCAGCUGGCUGCAACUGUUUAUUAA